rnacentral:rRNA from 1 species
ACGGAGGAUCCAAGCGUUAUCCGGAAUCAUUGGGUUUAAAGGGUCCGUAGGCGGCCUAUCAAGUCAGUGGUGAAAUCUCCCCGCUCAACGGGGAAACGGCCAUUGAUACUAGUAGGCUUGAAUUAUUAGGAAGUAACUAGAAUAUGUAGUGUAGCGGUGAAAUGCUUAGAUAUUACAUGGAAUACCAAUUGCGAAGGCAGGUUACUACUAAUUGAUUGACGCUGAUGGACGAAAGCGUGGGGAGCGAACAGG